UUGAGUACUCUAUCGGCUACAGGUAGUUAGGGUGUAGGUCACGAUUAAGCUUUUUUUUUAGCUCACCUGAGCACAAUGUGCUCAUGGUGAGCUUUUGUGAUCGCCUUUUGUCUGUAGUGCCUCGUCCGUUGUGCGGCGUCAGCAUUUGCCUUGUUAACACUCUAGAGGCCACAUUGAUUUCCAAUCUUCAUGACAUUUGGUCAGAAAAUUGGUCUCAAUAAUAUCUUGGAUGAGUUCGAAAAUGGUUACAUUUGCUUGAAAAACAGGGCUGCCAAGGGGCGGGGCAUUUUUCCUUAUAUGGCUAUAGUAAAAUCUUGUUUACACUCUAGAGGCCACAUUUUAUAUAUUCAGAAGUCUGAAUUUGGUCAGAAGAUUCAUCCCGAUAAUAUCUUAGAAGAAUUACAAAAAUGAUGCUGGUUGGUUGAAAAACAUGGCUGCCAGGGGGCGGGGCAUUUUUCCUAAUAUGGCUAUAGUAAAACCUUGAUAACACUCUAGAGGCCACAUUUAUUUUCUGAUCUUCAUGAAACUUGGUCAGAAGAUUUGUCCCAAUUAUAUCUUGUUAUUUCAGGUGAGCAACUUUGGGCCUUUCAGGCACUCUUGUUUAAAAACAUUGCAUGUUCUGUGCAUUUCCAAAAAGGAAAACCAUUUUGUCAUUUAAUAAGACCCAGUUCAUUCACUGCACAAUUUAUGAAGUUAUGACUUCUUAAAGGCGGCAACAUAAAAACAGCACCCUCCUAUUUUGCUCUUGAUCUUUCUUUACCUCAGAUGUAGAAGGACCUCAUAAACUUAUUUUGAAAGUUUGCGUUUCCUUAAACCUAACUCUAUUUUUCACCAUUUAAAAAUUCAAGAGCACAUAAUAAACUUUAAACAAUGUUUGCCCACAUGUUGGUUUUGCCCCGCAACAGUCCAUAUUCUUUCUCUCAUACUGCUGCCAAUGUUCUGCCAAGAGUGCAUUUUAUGUAUAAUCAUUUGAUAGUUAACUAUCUUAACACAAAAUUUAAAACUCGUAAUUAUCUUUAUGCAGGUAGGACUGCCUAAGGAUGGAUUAAACAAUAUUGGAGGUGCAAUUUGCGGCAUACCCAGGGACACUCAAUUACUCCCAUGGCAGGGCAGGACCCCCCCCCUGGCACCCAGUGAAUGCCGACUUGUUCUUUUCUGCAAUGAAGACUUGUUUAGGGACGUCUUGGGAUCUAAGUGCAGAAUUUGAAGCAAAUGUGACAUCAACCCUCUAAACCGAUGAGAGAAACAACACUGAACUUAAAUUUCGGAUAUAACCCUGAACAAUUGUCAUCAAUCACAUGACAUGCUGCUCACCACUAGAGGAAGACCCCUAUUGAAUUUGGCGUUUAUUCCUCUAAGUAACUGACCAGACACUAGAAGGUCCAGGUGCUGAUAAACUACACAAGAUCAAGUCCUGGUGUACAACACCCUACAGUGUUUCUGGCGGCUGGUGGAGCGAUUAAAGAAAAGCCAUGCUAAUGUUGCAAUGAUAUGUAUGCUAAACAAAAUAAAUAAAUUUAAAAAAAA